CCUACGGGAGGCAGCAGUGGGGGAUAUUGCACAAUGGGGGAAACCCUGAUGCAGCGACGCCGCGUGGGUGAAGAAGCGCCUCGGCGCGUAAAGCCCUGUCAGCAGGGAAGAAAAUGACGGUACCUGAAGAAGAAGCCCCGGCUAACUACGUGCCAGCAGCCGCGGUAAUACGUAGGGGGCAAGCGUUAUCCGGAUUUACUGGGUGUAAAGGGGGCGCAGACGGCGAUGCAAGCCAGGAGUGAAAGCCCGGGGACCAACCCCGGGACUGCUCUUGGAACUGCGUGGCUGGAGUGCAGGAGGGGCAGGCGGAAUUCCUGGUGUAGCGGUGAAAUGCGUAGAUAUCAGGAGGAACACCGGUGGCGAAGGCGGCCUGCUGGACUGCAACUGACGUUGAGGCCCGAAAGCGUGGGGAGCAAACAGGAUUAGAUACCCCAGUAGUC
rnacentral:rRNA from 1 species